rnacentral:rRNA from 1 species
GGUUGAUCCUGCCAGUAGUCAUAUGCUUGUCUCAAAGAUUAAGCCAUGCAAGUCUAAGUACGACUCUCGUAUAGUGAAUCUGCGAAUGGCUCAUUACAUCGGUCAUAAUUUCCUGGACGAGUUGACCAUACUUGGAUAACUGUGCCAAUUGUAGAGCUAAUACAUGCAACAUACUGUCUCUUCGGAGACGGUGCUUUUAUUAGAUCAAACGCCGAUGGCAUUCGUGUCUCGAGCGGCGAAUCGUGAUAACUCUAGCAUAUCGCACGGUUUCACACCGGCGAAGCGUCCUCCGAGUGACUGCCUUAUCAGCUGUCGAUGGUAGUGUAUUGGACUACCAGGCAUUAACGGGUNACGGGGAAUUAGGGUUCGAUUCCGGAGAGGGAGCCUGAGAAACGGCUACCACAUCUAAGGAAGGCAGCAGGCACGCAAAUUACCCAUUCCCGACUCGGGGAGGUAGUGACGAAAAAUAACGAUACGUGGUACUCAUUCGAGAACCCGUAAUUGGAAUGAGUACAAUUUAAAUCCUUUAACGAGGAUCUAUUGGAGGGCAAGUCUGGUGCCAGCAGCCGCGGUAAUUCCAGCUCCAAUAGCGUAUAUUAAAGUUGUUGCAGUUAAAAAGCUCGUAGUUGGAUCUUGGAUACGGGUAUCGCGGUCUGAGCAGUGUCUCUGUACUGCGAUUGCCCUGUCUGUAUUUUCGGAGGCCCGNGGCGGUGUCCUUNUGGGUGCUGUCGGGUGCCGAAGCGUUUACUUUGAAAAAAUUAGAGUGUUCAAAGCAGACACGU